rnacentral:rRNA from 1 species
AACGAACGCUGGCGGCAUGCCUAACACAUGCAAGUCGAACGAGACCUUCGGGUCUAGUGGCGCACGGGUGCGUAACGCGUGGGAACCUGCCCCUAGGUUCGGAAUAACUCCCCGAAAGGGGUGCUAAUACCGGAUAAUGUCUUCGGACCAAAGAUUUUUCGCCUUUGGAUGGGCCCGCGUUGGAUUAGCUAGUUGGUAGGGUAAAAGCCUACCAAGGCGACGAUCCAUAGCUGGUCUGAGAGGAUGAUCAGCCACACUGGGACUGAGACACGGCCCAGACUCCUACGGGAGGCAGCAGUGGGGAAUAUUGGACAAUGGGCGAAAGCCUGAUCCAGCAAUGCCGCGUGAGUGAUGAAGGCCUUAGGGUUGUAAAGCUCUUUUACCCGGGAUGAUAAUGACAGUACCGGGAGAAUAAGCUCCGGCUAACUCCGUG